GUAGGGUGCAAGCGUUAAUCGGAAUUACUGGGCGUAAAGCGUGCGCAGGCGGUUUUGUAAGACAGAGGUGAAAUCCCCGGGCUCAACCUGGGAACUGCCUUUGUGACUGCAAGGCUGGAGUGCGGCAGAGGGGGAUGGAAUUCCGCGUGUAGCAGUGAAAUGCGUAGAUAUGCGGAGGAACACCGAUGGCGAAGGCAAUCCCCUGGGCCUGCACUGACGCUCAUGCACGAAAGCGUGGGGGGAGCAAACAGGAUUAGAUACCCUGGUAGUCUACGCCCCUAAACGAUGUCAACUGGUUGUUGGGUCUUCACUGACUCAGUAACGAAGCUAACGCGUGAAGUUGACCCGCCUGGGAGUACGGCCGCAAGGUUG
rnacentral:rRNA from 1 species